GUAACUAUACGAGACUGAUGCUAAAGAUUAAUAGCUUCUCCCAGAAUUUGGAAGAAGUGAAAAAGGAUUUUCGCCUAUAGGCUCCAGAUGGAGCAGGUCCUGCUGACAACUCAGUUCAGACUUCCGGCCUCCACACCGUGAGUCAAUACACUUCUGCUGGUUUAACCCACCCACUGUGUGUUAAUUCAUUUUAGCAGCCCAAGCAAAGUAAUGUAGGUUUGUUUAGGGAGAGCCUUACUGUUCUGCAUUAAUGAGCUGGAAUCUCCUAAACCUUUGAACCUGCUAAAGAUCACAAAUCCUAUUAUCAGACUUGAAAACCUUUUAAGAUGAAUAAUUACCUGCUUCCAUUUUAUUCGGUUUUUCCCUCAUAACUGGACAUUUUUUCUUAUGCUGCAGGAGAGACUCUUUUCAUUCUGGGAGACAAGAUUACCCACCAGGUAUUUGCUCCAUCUGGGUCACUACUAAGGAGUCACUUUGGACUACUGCCCCAUCUUGCCCACUGUGGCACCUCUGGAUUCUCUAUCUCUGGAGUACAUCCGGAAAGAAAAUGUUGACACGGUCAAAAAGGAUAAAACAGAUAACAGCUAUGCAACAGCAUCUCACUGCCUUCUGAUGGAAGUGAACCC
rnacentral:lncRNA from 1 species